CGGAGGAAAAGAAACUAACCAAGGAUUCCCUAUAACGGCGAGUGAAGCGGGAAAAGCUCAAAUUUGAAAUCUGGCAGCCUCAGGUUGUCCGAGUUGUAAUCUAUAGAAACGUUUUCCGCGCCGGCCCAUGUACAAGUCCCUUGGAACAGGGCGUCAUAGAGGGUGAGAAUCCCGUCCUUGACACGGACCACCGGUGCUUUGUGAUACGUUUUCAACGAGUCGAGUUGUUUGGGAAUGCAGCUCAAAAUGGGUGGUAAAUUCCAUCUAAAGCUAAAUAUUGGCGAGAGACCGAUAGCGAACAAGUACCGUGAGGGAAAGAUGAAAAGCACUUUGGAAAGAGAGUUAAACAGUAUGUGAAAUUGUUGAAAGGGAAACGAUUGAAGUCAGUCGUGUCUAUUGGACUCAGCCGGUUCUGCCGGUGUACUUCCUUUAGAUGGGGUCAACAUCAGUUUUGAUCGCUGGAAAAGGGCGGGAGGAAUGUAGCACUCUCGGGUGAACUUAUAGCCUUCCGUCGUAUACAGUGGUUGGGACUGAGGAACGCAGCAUGCCUUUAUGGCCGGGGUUCGCCCACGUACAUGCUUAGGAUGUUGACAUAAUUGCU
rnacentral:rRNA from 1 species